rnacentral:rRNA from 1 species
GGGCUGCAGUGAGGAAUUUUGCGCAAUGGGGGCAACCCUGACGCAGCAACGCCGCGUGAGUGAAGAAGGCCUUUGGGUCGUAAAGCUCUGUCGACAGGGAAGAAGUUAUUGUUGUUUAAUAGAUGACAGUAUUGACGGUACCUGUAGAGGAAGCACCGGCUAACUCCGUGCCAGCAGCCGCGGUAAUACGGGGGGUGCAAGCGUUAUUCGGAAUUAUUGGGCGUAAAGGGCGCGUAGGCGGUCUUGUCGGUCAGAUGUGAAAGCCCAGGGCUCAACCCUGGACGUGCAUUUGAAACAGCAAGACUUGAGUACGGUAGAGGAAAGCGGAAUUCCUGGUGUAGAGGUGAAAUUCGUAGAUAUCAGGAGGAACACCGAUGGCGAAGGCAGCUUUCUGGACCGAUACUGACGCUGAGGCGCGAAGGCGUGGGUAGCGAACGGGAUUAGAUACCCCAGUAGUC